rnacentral:tRNA from 1 species
GCCCAUAUAGCUCAGUCGGUAGAGCGCAUCCUUGGUAAGGAUGAGGUCACCAGUUCAAAUCUGGUUAUGGGCU